rnacentral:rRNA from 1 species
UACGUAGGGUGCGAGCGUUGUCCGGAAUUAUUGGGCGUAAAGAGCUUGUAGGCGGUCUGUCGCGUCUGCUGUGAAAAUCCGGGGCUCAACCCCGGACUUGCAGUGGGUACGGGCAGACUAGAGUGUGGUAGGGGAGACUGGAAUUCCUGGUGUAGCGGUGAAAUGCGCAGAUAUCAGGAGGAACACCGAUGGCGAAGGCAGGUCUCUGGGCCACUACUG